CCCUUUUUUCUAAAAAAAAUCGUUAACUAAAAAAAAAUCACAACAUGCCCAAAAAAAUUAUAAUAGAAUUUCUUUGGUCACUACAACAGAAUUAGGUUAUAUGGACACAUGUUUGGGACACUUUUCUGUAAGUGUCCUAUUUAUGCCAAAAAUUUUUAAAAAAAAAUCUACUAAUGCAUAAAUAUAAAGUUCAAUCCAACCAAAAAAUAAAAGGUUAAUCUAUUCAACCCACCCUACCCAGUCCAUUCGGUCUGAUUACAAACAGAAAAGAAAAAGAAAAGAAAAAAUCGAUUACCAUUUUUCCUUCUCCCCUCGCUCAAUCGACUGAAAUUCUAGACGAAGAUCCCUUCCUCUCGUCCUCCUUCGCCACCGUAGCCAACGAGGUAGAGUUCCGGUGGCUGCUAAAUGCUUAAAUAAAUAUUGGUAAAUUAGCAUCACUCUUUUUAGGUUAUAGCGACACUCUUUAACUGUCACUAUAUACCUAGCAACCCCACAUAUAGCAACACUUUUUAGAAGUGUUAGUAAUUUAGCCAGCAGCACUUGUUUUGACCUGUACCGACAUUUAAUAGUGUCGCUAAAAACCGUUUUUAUUGUAGUGGGUGAAUUACUAAUUCUAUUUAAACUAUUUUAGUAAAUAAAUUGCAAUAUGUAAUACUAAAAAUUUUAAAAAAUUUGCUAAACUCCAAGAUAGAAAAUUUUAUUUUUGUAACAUAAUAUUUUAGUUUUCUCUUUUUGCUAAAAACCCAAAGGUAUUGCUUAAAAUCCAAAAACACGAUAACACUAUGUAGUGGCCAGGGGUGGUGGCACCACAUUUAUUUUAGCAUAGGAGAGGCAGGGUGAGCCCAUUUUUUUGUUUCAACCCAAUUCUCCUCUCUCUCUCUCUCUCUCUCUCUCUCUCUCUCUCUCUCUCUCUCUCUCAUACUACAGGACCAAUUUCCUAAAUCUUUUUAUGGAAGUAUCGUAGUUUGAAAAUCAAGUAGGGAAAACGUCUAAUUAUUUUGAAACCUACCUUACUCAUAGGAUGUACAAACUCGUCGCAAAUAUAGAGAUUUCUCUGUCCAUAUAAAUAUAGUUUCCCAUAUACUUGCAUAGCAUAUCGGCCUAUUACAACAUCAUACAACCUAGUACAAUUCACACUAACACCAGGAGUUGGGCUGUAAUACCAUUGAUACUAAUUCUAUUCUAACCAUUUUAGCAAAUAAAUUGCAAUAUUAAAUACUAAAAAUUUAAACGAAUAUGCUAAACUCCAAGAUAGAAAAUUUUAUUUUUGUUGCAUAAUAUUUUAGUUUUCUUUUUUUGCUAAAAAUCCAAAAGUAUUGCUUA
rnacentral:lncRNA from 1 species